UACGAAGGGGGGCUAGCGUUGCUCGGAAUCACUGGGCGUAAAGCGCACGUAGGCGGGUUCUUAAGUCAGGGGUGAAAUCCUGGAGCUCAACUCCAGAACUGCCCUUGAUACUGGCGGUCUCGAGUCCGGGAGAGGGAUGCGGAAUUCCAGGUGUAGCGGUGAAAUGCGUAGAUAUCGGGAGGAACACCGGUGGCGAAGGCGGCGACCUGGGUAGAUACUGACGCUGAGGCGCGAAAGCGUGGGGAGCAAACGGG
rnacentral:rRNA from 1 species